rnacentral:rRNA from 1 species
UACGUAGGGUCCGAGCGUUGUCCGGAAUUAUUGGGCGUAAAGGGCUCGUAGGCGGUUUGUCGCGUCUGCUGUGAAAACCCGAGGCUCAACCUCGGGCCUGCAGUGGGUACGGGCGAGACUAGAGUGCGGUAGGGGAGAUUGGAAUUCCUGGUGUAGCGGUGGAAUGCGCAGAUAUCAGGAGGAACACCGAUGGCGAAGGCAGAUCUCUGGGCCGUAACUGACGCUGAGGAGCGAAAGCAUGGGGAGCGAACAGG